GUGGGUAUAGCUCAGUGGUAGAAUGCAUGCUUUGCACACACUUAGUCCUGGGUUCAAUCCCCAGUACCUCCA
rnacentral:tRNA from 1 species